CUCAUUCACACAGUCAUUGUUCGGUCAGUGAUUUCCAUCAGUGUUUUUAACCAAAACUAGGUGCGGCUUUAAACACAAAACAGGUGCACAUCUUUCCCUUAUACCUUAUGUCUGGAGGCUCCAAUCCUGGUUUUGGCUCACAAUCACUGACCA